CUCACGGAGAAAAUAGAAUGUACCUGUUGAUUCUACUGAUUUCCAUAGUGAUUGACCCGCUUUAGUACGUUAGACUACUUUACAGAACACGUCACUUUUUAUUUAUAAUCCCAUAGAUUACAAAAGAUUUGGGAGCUGAGAGUAAAUUGGCUUUAAAUGUCUGGACAGACAGGAGAGAGAAUAUAUCUUAAGAGAGAGAAUGGGCAAAUGUUAGGUUGGAAAUUUGAUGAAGGGGCUUUAAGACAGCAAGUGUGUUUACAAAUUUCGCUCACUACUACUGCACAGCCCAGUUGGCACAUCUACAACAGUGGCAUGCGCCACCAGGCAAAAAACGAUGGGUGGACUUGGAACAUAAUAUCUUGGGAUGGGACCUCCCAUAGGCAUACAUAUCUGCCAUACUGGCACACUGCCCUCUCCUACUGCCCUCCUUUCUAGCAAUCACCCACUCCCUAGUCCUAUGGGACAAGCUUAAAAUAAAAUUCAACCUUUCCUCAUUCUUGUCCCCACUCACGCCCAUAUACCGUAACAACCUGUUGCCAUCCAUCAUGACUCCAAAACACUUUCACAGUUUUGACCACAGAGACAUUUCCAGGUUGCUACACUUGUGCGACCAUGGCAACGUAAUCCAAUACUCCGAUUUACCUAACCCAGAGACAUUACGAACUAUGACUAUUUUUGAUACAUACUAGAUCUACCCAACACACCCAUGAUCAAUAAAAUCCACAGAAAAAUGUUACUUGCAUACUAUUCCAAAUCCCUAUGCAUAUUUAAAUAAAUGGAGGUUAUUUAGUAACUCCAAUGGUCAUUAGAUGUAAGCCUACUUUCCACAUCAAGGCAAAUCUCUAAAGGUGUGUCGUACACUAACAAUUCACCUUGCUUGCUUCAACUUUAGGCAAAGAAAAG